rnacentral:rRNA from 1 species
UAAGCGGAGGAAAAGAAACUAACAAGGAUUCCCCUAGUAACUGCGAGUGAAGCGGGAAAAGCUCAAAUUUAAAAUCUGGUGGUCUUUGGCCAUNCGAGUUGUAAUUUAGAGAAGCGUCUUCCGCGCUGGACCGUGCACAAGUCUCCUGGAAUGGAGCGUCAUAGAGGGUGAGAAUCCCGUCUUUGGCAUGGACACACCAGGGCUUUUGUGAUGCGCUCUCGAAGAGUCGAGUUGUUUGGGAAUGCAGCUCAAAAUGGGUGGUGAACUCCAUCUAAAGCUAAGUAUUGGCGAGAGACCGAUAGCGAACAAGUACCGUGAGGGAAAGAUGAAAAGCACUUUGGAGAGAGAGUGAAACAGUACGCGAAAUUGUUGAAAGGGAAACGCUUGAAGUCAGUCACGUCGACCGAGACUCAGCCUUGCCUCGGCUUGGUGUACUUCUCGGCUGACGGGUCAGCAUCAAUUUUGCCCCUUGGAUAAUGGCGAGGGAAAUGUGACACCUUUAUGGUGUGUUAUAGUCUCUCGUCGCAUGCAAGGGUUGGGAUUGAGGAACUCAGCACGCGCCCUUUGGGUGUCGGGGCUUUGCCCACGAUACGUGCUUAGGAUGUUGGCAUAAUGGCUUUAAACGACC